GGGGUUGACUGGAUUUGACAGCGGGUUGAAGUGAUGCGUAAGCAUGCGGAGUGGUGGCUGUAUACUCCAUAAUCAAUGCGGUCAAGAAAUUUAUCUGGCGAAACAAAUUACGCUCUCGCUGCCUAAUCGAAGUACAGUAGAUUACUGGCUUAAUCCCGUCACCAGGUGAUGGGACGAGACAUCGCUCCAAGGAUCUUUUUCCGAGUCUGAGGGUUAAGCGGUGCGGUUAAUUCGGAAAUAGUCGGUUGCAGCCUCGUGUGGUCGAUGAAAUUAAGAGGAUAAGGCAUCAGUUGGUGGUCCAGGUCUUGCUGCUGCACGAAAAACGAAGGCUGGAAUAAGCAUGUAGAAAGCGGAUUGUUUCCCUGUUUGGACGAGGGUUCGACUCCCUCCAGCUCCAC
rnacentral:tmRNA from 1 species